rnacentral:rRNA from 1 species
GUCCUAGCUGUAAACGAUGGAGACUAGGUGUUGGGCCCGUUAGGGUUCAGUGCCGCAGGUAACCCGAUAAGUCUCCCACCUGAGGAGUACGGCCGCAAGGUUGAAACUCAAAGGAAUUGACGGGGCCAGCACAAGCGGUGGAACAUGUGGUUCAAUUCGAUGCUACGCGAAGAACCUUACCCAGGCUUGACAUGCUUGAAGUAGGAACCUGAAAGGGCAACGACUCGUAUCCAGUCGAGAACUUGCACAGGUGCUGCAUGGCUGUCGU